GGAAAAGGGGAAGCGGAGAAUUCCGCGUGCGCGCUGUUCGAGGGACCGCGAAAGAUAUUGGACUUCAUUUUAUUGACUUGUCCUGCCUCAAAUGGGAAGACUGAGUCGCCGUGCCUCCACAGAAAAUGUUAGAAGCGGCUACUCAGGUCAGCACCGCUUUACAAGAAAAAGCAUUAUUUAAAAGAAUCCCUGUGCAAAAGGAUUUGCAAAAGAGAGGAUGCAUCAAAUGUAGAGUUGGAAAUUAUCUCAAGACUCAUCUAGUCUAACCCUCUGCAAUGCAGGAAUCUCAACUAUUUAAAAAAAGACCAACACAGUGAACCCUCUGGAAAAUCUUCAUUAUCGACUUGAUGCAUCUGACGUAGUUGGUUCAUGCCUUUGAAAGCUCAUGCAGCAACGUAAGCAUUACUUUUUAAAGUUAUAAGA